rnacentral:rRNA from 1 species
GAGUUUGAUCAUGGCUCAGGACGAACGCUGGCGGCGUGCUUAACACAUGCAAGUCGAACGGUGAAGGGGCCUGCUUUUGUGGGUCCUGGAUGAGUGGCGAACGGGUGAGUAACACGUGAGUAACCUGCCCCCUUCUUCUGGAUAACCGCAUGAAAGUGUGGCUAAUACGGGAUAUUCUGGGUCUGUCGCAUGACGGGUCUGGGAAAGAUAUUGUUUCGGUGGGGGAUGGGCUCGCGGCCUAUCAGCUUGUUGGUGGGGUGAUGGCCUACCAAGGCGGUGACGGGUAGCCGGCCUGAGAGGGUGGACGGUCACACUGGGACUGAGACACGGCCCAGACUCCUACGGGAGGCAGCAGUGGGGAAUAUUGCACAAUGGGCGCAAGCCUGAUGCAGCGACGCCGCGUGAGGGAUGGAGGCCUUCGGGUUGUGAACCUCUUUCGCCAGUGAAGCAGGCCUGCCCCUGGUGGGUGGGUUGACGGUAGCUGGAUAAGAAGCGCCGGCUAACUACGUGCCAGCAGCCGCGGUAAUACGUAGGGCGCGAGCGUUGUCCGGAAUUAUUGGGCGUAAAGAGCUCGUAGGCGGCUGAUCGCGUCUGUCGUGAAAUCCUCUGGCUUAACUGGGGGCUUGCGGUGGGUACGGGCCGGCUUGAGUGCGGUAGGGGAGGCUGGAACUCCUGGUGUAGCGGUGGAAUGCGCAGAUAUCAGGAAGAACACCGGUGGCGAAGGCGGGUCUCUGGGCCGUUACUGACGCUGAGGAGCGAAAGCGUGGGGAGCGAACAGGAUUAGAUACCCUGGUAGUCCACGCCGUAAACGUUGGGCACUAGGUGUGGGGGGGCCUUUUCCGGGUUUUCCGCGCCGUAGCUAACGCAUUAAGUGCCCCGCCUGGGGAGUACGGCCGCAAGGCUAAAACUCAAAGGAAUUGACGGGGGCCCGCACAAGCGGCGGAGCAUGCGGAUUAAUUCGAUGCAACGCGAAGAACCUUACCAAGGCUUGACAUGUGCCGGUCGGCUCCGGAGACGGGGUUUCCUCCUUGUGGGGCCGGUUCACAGGUGGUGCAUGGUUGUCGUCAGCUCGUGUCGUGAGAUGUUGGGUUAAGUCCCGCAACGAGCGCAACCCUUGUCUCGUGUUGCCAGCACGUUGUGGUGGGGACUCGCGGGAGACUGCCGGGGUCAACUCGGAGGAAGGUGGGGAUGACGUCAAAUCAUCAUGCCCCUUAUGUCUUGGGCUUCACGCAUGCUACAAUGGCCGGUACAGAGGGCUGCGAUACUGUGAGGUGGAGCGAAUCCCUUAAAGCCGGUCUCAGUUCGGAUCGGUGUCUGCAACUCGACACCGUGAAGUUGGAGUCGCUAGUAAUCGCAGAUCAGCAACGCUGCGGUGAAUACGUUCUCGGGCCUUGCACACACCGCCCGUC